rnacentral:rRNA from 1 species
AUUGAACGCUGGCGGCAGGCCUAACACAUGCAAGUCGAGCGAGCGGCGGACGGGUGAGGAUUGUCUGGGAAACUGCCUGAUGGAGGGGGAUAACUACUGGAAACGGUAGAUAAAACCGCAUACCAUCUGCUGUGCGCAGAUGGGAUUAGCUAGUAGGUGGGGUAACGGCUGACCGAGGCGCCGAUCCCUAGCUGGUCUGAGAGGAUGACCAGCAACACUGGAACUGAGACACGGUCCAGACUCCUACGGGAGGCAGCAGUGGGGAAUAUUGCACAAUGGGCGAAAGCCUGAUGCAGCCAUGCCGCGUGUAUGAAGAAGGCCUUCGGGUUGUAAAGCACUUUCAGCGGGGAGGCGUUACCCGCAGAAGAAGCACCGGCUAACUCCGUGCCAGCAGCCGCGGUAAUUC